UCUUUACCAACAUUUGCCCUCUUUUCUCCUUUCUCCUGCAAUGACGGAGAAGAGAGCGGAGGUGCUGUGAUGCAAUGAAAAGGGAAAAGGUUAGAUGGCUUGCGGCUAGGUCAAUUUUGGUUGGACCUCCAAAGAUCGAGGAAGAGAGAUAAUGUUGUUUCCUUUUAAGGAUUGCAUGAAGUAGGAGCGUGGACAGAGUUCCGAGAAUGACUCAGAUGGAUAGCUAAUUGUUUUAUUUGUUGAAGAAGAUGUACGGAAGGAGAUUCUGGAGAUGGCGAUUAAGGUUUUCGUCUUUCUCAUGACCCUUCCUCUCCUAGUGCAGGUAAGCAUUUUCUUUGCUUAUUUUUCUUACAUUUUUGCCAGUUUCUCGUCUAGAUUUAGGGCUAGAAACUUUACAUGGUAUUAGAGCAAUGAAGAAUGAGAACUUUGUUUCAAAUGCAACCCAACAGCCAGAUUUUUUUAGCAGAGGGGUCCGGGACCCUUUACACCCUAGUAGCCCUUGUUACAUGGGAACUAAUGAAAGCUCCGGUGCUCUAUUAUAACACAGUUGUUGGAUUCUAUGAACUACCAUUCUUGGGCUAGAUUUAUGAAGCGUGCCCUUAGAAUAAAAAAACAAAUUAGUGUUUACUGAUGGAAGUAUUAGAGAAUCUGUAGAUCCAAACAGCCCACUCAUGGACACUGGCUGCAUUGUAAUGAUAUCGUAAUAACAACGUGGAUACAAAUAACAGUGUCUGUUUGACAUUAAAUGAAGUACCUUUUGUGUUGAAUCUGCUUUUCAACUUUGAAAUGUACUUGAAUAAAGACAUACUCAAAGUAAUUGCCCUAGAAUUCAUGAAGUGAAACGAUCAAUGGCUAAUCUAGUAUAGGAGAAUGGCACUUUUGAGGUUUAUUUUUUGAAGCUUAGAGCUCCCUUUGAUGAACACCGGCGAGGAGAUUAGGUGAUGAAGUUUCUGAUGAGACUGAACGAAAUAUAUAAAGACAUUAAGGCACAUGUUUGUUGAUAAAAUCCUUUCCGAGCUUAAAUGAGGUGUACUAAAUUGUAUAACAGGAAGAAAAUGAAAGGAAAUAUCGACGGAUGUUGCACCAAACAGGCUCUAGCCUUUAGCAUUAAGGAGCCAAACAAAAACACUGGAGUUACUGUUGCUAUUGGAGAGAAGUAUUACUGCUCACACUGUGAGGUAGUAGGCCAUUCUGUGGAGAGGUGCUUCAAGGCCAAUUCAAACAAACCGGUCAUAGCACACUGUGAGAUGUCUGGACAAAAUGUGGAGGAAUGCUAGAAACUUCAUGGAUACCCUAAAGGAAACAAGCUGCAUUGCGUGGGAAGGCAAAAUGUUAAUUGUUAACCAGGUCUCCACUUCACCCAUGGUUGAGGAAAAUGGAUUGGGAGACCACAACAUGAUCGCUCAAAAACAGUAUGCACAAUUGAUGAUACUGCUUUAGCGAAAUAAUGCUUCUGCUUACAUGGUUCUAACACAACCUUCAGUUUGCCCAGACAGCAACACCCUGGGAUUCUCUAGUAUGCCCCUUUGUCUCGGAUCAGAUUUGGUUGUGUGUUUUCCCAACAUUCGGUAUGUAAGAAUGACAUCGAUAAAUAUCAUAAUAACUAUGCUUCGAUACCAA